rnacentral:lncRNA from 1 species
GAAGGAGGCGGCAAAAGGAAAAAGGGAGAUCAGGAAGCAGCAGGGUCCGCUGGCAGAGCCUCUACGGGGAGGGGAGAAAGGAAGCAAGAAGGGUGGGAAAGCGAAGAAACAGGCCGGCAGGCGGACCACCCUGAGGCGCCAGGAGUGGAACAAAAGCGACCUUUCUUCUUUCCUCACUUCAGCUUCGCGGCUGGUUCUUCACACCAUCAGGCCCCUCAUCCAAAAGUCUACCUGGAGGCGGAAUAGCAGCCGCCACGGCCGGGCCCUUCCCUUCCUUGAGCCAGGCCGGAGUCCGUGCUUCAGCUUCCCCCUCACCCCCUUCCCUUCUUUUCUCCCUCUCUCCGCCCUUACUUUGCCCUGCCGCGGCCUGCACNAGCCCUUCGAGGGACGCUUCCGAUUCCCGGGGUCUGCCGAGGUCCGGCCGACGCUACGGUCCGCGCUUUCCCCCUUCUCCCUCCGUUGGGCCGUUCUUACCUGAGCGCGCCAGGCCUGCCUGGCUGCCUGGGCCUCUCCUGAGGAACUAACGGCGGGAGCGCGGCCAAAAGCGCUGCAGCCGAGUCCGGAGGAGGAAGAAGAAGCCGCACUCCGGGGCCUGCCGGGAUCUUUUCUGUCUCCUCACUCUCAGCCGCUUCUGGCCCUCCCUCUCUUGGCCUAGCCGAAGAAAGGAAAGCGGGGAGUGAGUGGGGGAGGAACCAGUCGAGUUACCUCAGAAACAGAGACGGAAGGGGGAGAGAACGGGUUAAAAAACCCGAGAGAAGCGGGCACGAGUCUCCGUUGCUUUAAGUGCUCCCGGCCGCCGCCGCCAUCACGCUGCCGCAGCCGCUUACUAGUACUGCCUCUUUCUUUCCCCCCUCCCCUCGUCCGAUGGAAACCCCUGGCGUGAUGUCAGCCCUGGGACAGAGCGGGAAGGGGAGGGAGGAGUCAGGAGAAAGGAAUAAAGCGAGCGAGGAAGCGGCCGGGUCGGCCUUGUGUGUGCUUUCUUCUGCUGCAGCAGGCAACCAGGGUGGCGAGCGCGCGACGAGGUGGAGGCGGCGGCGAAAUGACGAGCCAGGUCAAGAGCCAUCUGUAGCUGGUGCUGUCUCACUGAUCUUCAAGAAGCAUAGAAGGAUGAUCAUCUUGUGAAGGGAACACUUCAGAAACUUGGUUGGAAUUUGACGUUGAUCACUCCUGAAUUGAAAACAAUGUAAUCUGCUUCUAAAAUUGUGUUUUAUGUUGGUUUUGUUAUUAUCUGCUCUGAGGCCUCUGGGUAUAGGGUGGGAUAAAAAUAAAAAUAAAUAUAAAUAUAAAUAAAACCA